GGAAAAUAGCUGCAAGUUUAAUGGAUUUGAUGUGAAAAGUACUGUGUAACAAGCUAAUAAGUGUAUAAGUGCUGUGACAACAUGCGAUAAUUAUCCAAAAUUCAAGUCUCAUUCACACACUUUCAAUAUUUCUUACAAGAAGCCGGCAAAAUCCAAAUGGGAUUCGUGAAGGCGAUUUUAUCCAAUCCUCACAUUUUGUUUGGAGUAGCUAACAGAUUAGUCAAGCCAGUUAGACUGCCAAUCAGCAGAUUCUAUUCAACGGUACCAGCAGGAUGACAUCGAUCAAAAGAAAGUAAGAAAACUGGCGAAAAAACUAGCUGUUGCUGCUUCUGAGCCACGCUUCUAUCAAGCUCGUUCUAGCAAAUGGACUGAGCUAAAGAAAAGAUACGAUCAAGAGGUGGCAUCCAAAGAACAAGAAGUUAUUCACGUAACACUGCUUGAUGGUAAGGUCGUCGAAGGAUUUAGCUGGGAUCUGACACCAUUGCAAAUAGCCCAGGACAUUAGCCACGCACUGGUACAAGACGUGUACAUUGCUAAAAUAAACGAUCAACUGUGGGAUUUUGAGCGACCAUUGGAGGCUGACUGUAAAAUUCAAUUAUUGAAAUAUGAUUCUCAAGAUGCUAAAACCGCAUUCUGGACGACAGCUGCAUUUACUUUAGCCGAAGCAUUGGAAAGAUUAUAUUGUACAGAUGAUGGUGGUGUGGUGUGUAGUAUCGGUUCCACGCAAAGUGGUUUCUAUGCAGACAUUCAUUUGACAGCGAAAACGAUCAACAGAAAAGACAUCGGUGCUAUUGAUGAGCAAAUCGCUAAAAUACUACAAAACCACAGCAAAGUCGAACGCAUUGAGACUACGAAAAGUGAUGCAAAUGAAUUGUUUGCCUAUAAUCCGUUCAAAUUGAAAGUGAUCAGCGAACGUGUGUGUGAUAGACUACCUAUAUACCGAUGUGGCUGUUUCAUUGAAAUCGUCGAUACUCCACUUCUUCGUAAGAAUAAAAAUGUGAACACCAUCAAGAUACUAAAGAUGGAGUCGGUACUUUGCAAUGGCCAGCCCAUACAACGCGUUCAUGGUGUAGCUUUUCCAUCGCACAAAGAAUUGAAGGAUUACCUUAAGCAGAAUAAAUUGACGUAGGAUCUGUUAUGAAAUGUGAAUAAACCGCUUCGUUUGGCCAAUGCAUAUUACAA